rnacentral:rRNA from 1 species
GAUGAACGCUGGCGGCGUGCUUAACACAUGCAAGUCGAACGGAAAGGCUCAAGCUUGCUUGGGUACUCGAGUGGCGAACGGGUGAGUAACACGUGGGUGAUCUGCCCUGCACUUCGGGAUAAGCCUGGGAAACUGGGUCUAAUACCGGAUAGGACCACUUCUUGGAUGUUGUGGUGGAAAGUUUUUUCGGUGUGGGAUGAGCUCGCGGCCUAUCAGCUUGUUGGUGGGGUAAUGGCCUACCAAGGCGUCGACGGGUAGCCGGCCUGAGAGGGUGUACGGCCACAUUGGGACUGAGAUACGGCCCAGACUCCUACGGGAGGCAGCAGUGGGGAAUAUUGCACAAUGGGCGCAAGCCUGAUGCAGCGACGCCGCGUGGGGGAUGACGGCCUUCGGGUUGUAAACUCCUUUCGCUAGGGACGAAGCGUUUUGUGACGGUACCUGGAGAAGAAGCACCGGCUAACUACGUG